GUGAUUUAUCUCUAAUAUCUACACACACCUGUGAACUGUUAAAUUGGUCUUCUGGACCAACUUUUACAAACAUUGUGUAAUGAACGUCAUAUUAUUAUAACAAUAAUA
rnacentral:misc_RNA from 1 species